AUCUCUACGCAUUUCACCGCUACACCUGGAAUUCUACCCCCCUCUACAAGACUCAAGCUUGCCAGUUUCAAAUGCAGUUCCCAGGUUGAGCCCGGGGAUUUCACAUCUGACUUAACAAACCGCCUGCGUGCGCUUUACGCCCAGUAAUUCCGAUUAACGCUUGCACCCUCCGUAUUACCGCGGCUGCUGGCACGGAGUUAGCCGGUGCUUCUUCUGCGAGUAACGUCAAUCGCUAAGGUUAUUAACCUUAACGCCUUCCUCCUCGCUGAAAGUACUUUACAACCCGAAGGCCUUCUUCAUACACGCGGCAUGGCUGCAUCAGGCUUGCGCCCAUUGUGCAAUAUUCCCCACUGCUGCCUCCCGUAGGAGUCUGGACCGUGUCUCAGUUCCAGUGUGGCUGGUCAUCCUCUCAGACCAGCUA
rnacentral:rRNA from 1 species